GAAUGUGAGGUUACCAAGGGCCGGUGAGAGUGCUCCUGUGAGUCCUCUGCUGUACAAGACCAGCGCCACCACCCGUGUGGAUUUCGGGUGGCUGCAGGUCACGCCCUCCCAGCCACAGAACUGGACGCUGCUGUUCCAGGACGCAAGCGCUCGAGAGUCGCCACUGCUGACCAGCGCUUUGAAAGCAAGCAGUGUGGCUUCAUCGCCAGCGCCUACUCUGGAGAUUAUUAGGACGGUGGCGAGUAGCGAUAGCAAGCUGAUGACCCCCAUUGCCAUGUGCAUACAGUUUGUUGGUUUGCCUACAGAAUUUUCCUAGUUGGUGAUCGGUCAACAGAAUGGCCGGCUGCAAGAGGAGAGUGACAGCCAUAUACUAUGAUAUAGGUGUAAUUUCAAUGGCUUAAUCUCGCAGGUAUUGCAUGGGUUGAUUCUACGGUGAGGAACCAUGGGCUACUUGAUUGUUUUUUCAGAUUCUCAUCGAAGUGUGUGUACUUGCAUAUUUUCUUCGGAUUCUUCUGCAAUUUGUGACUGGCUUGUAAUCAUUUAAUUAAUACCGAAACUUCCAUGCAUUAUUAAUUGUGACUGGAACAGUUAAACAAUUAACAGUUCAUGUAUUUCAGGACCGAUCC